CACGUAGGGUGCGAGCGUUGUUCGGAAUUACUGGGCGUAAAGGGCUCGUAGGUGGCCAACUAAGUCAGACGUGAAAUCCCUCAGCUUAACUGGGGAACUGCGUCUGAUACUGGAUGGCUUGAGGUUGGGAGAGGGAUGCGGAAUUCCAGGUGUAGCGGUGAAAUGCGUAGAUAUCUGGAGGAACACCGGUGGCGAAGGCGGCAUCCUGGACCAAUUCUGACGCUGAGGAGCGAAAGCUAGGGGAGCAAACGGG
rnacentral:rRNA from 1 species